CGCGCCUACUAGCUCAUAACCCAACCAGACCUGAGCGCACACACACAUACACAGCGAGGAGAUAAAACACAUACAGAAGACAUUAGCUGGAUUACUUGGAUUAUUACACAUGCCAUUAACAGAAUCCGUGUGGAAUGAAAGUUUUGAAAGUUGGUCCAGUUCAGAUCAUAAAUACUCGUCUCCAUCAAAUAAAAUGAGAGGUGAAGAAACGUCUGGUACUGGCCUGCACAGACUAAUCCAAGAGCAGCUUCGCUAUGGAAACCCCACAGAUGCCCACACACUCCUGGCCAUCCAGCAGCAGGCCCUGCAGCGAGGAGGAGGUGUUAGAGGUGGCAGCGGAGGGACUGGGUCUUCACAGUCGUCAUCUGAGAGCCUCAGCCAAGAGGAGCCCCAGUCUCUUCAGCUCUCUGCCCGCCAAGAUCCCCAGGGUCAAGAGCACCAGGUCGACUACCAGCACUCUGAGAACUACACAACAUACCCACACCACGGCGAGGAGCUGCCCACCUAUGAACAAGCCAAGGCCCAGUCUCAGUAUUUGGCCUCCCAGUGGUGCCAGCUGAACAGGGGCUGCUCACUGCAGGAUAGUGAAACCAUCCCGAAGCCCUGUGAGGAGGAAGACAGCUGGGACCCGAAGCGAGGCCACGUACGGUCACUCAGUGAGCGGCUUCUGCAGUUUUCAGGAGAGCGCAGUAAAAUGCCUGCAACAUGUUCUGCCAGUUAUCCUCAGAUCCAUGGAUAUCAUGCAAACCAGUACUUACAAUAUAGCCAGCAAGGACUGGAAUACAAUAGGCAGGUUCCUUAUACCGAGUACCCCUUUCCUGCACAACAAGCAGCGGAGUAUGAACAUUACUACAAAGCACCACCAGCAUUUCAUUCCCAGCACAACAGACUUCAAACACCAGAGGUUUGCCAUAGACUCUCCACAGCUCCCCCUGCUGGCAGGGAAGUCACGGCUUGCAGUCGCAGUCAACUGGAAAUGCUCAUGAACGAGAAUAAAAGACUGAAACAGGAGCUAGAGGGACACACUGAGAAGGCCCUCAGAAUUCAGAAGCUAGAACAAGAGAUCCAAAGGAUCUCAGAGGCCUACGACACUCUGAUGAAGGGCUGCGCUAAAAGAGAAACUCUAGAGCAAGUGCUAAGAAACAAGCUGAUGGCUGAGAUCAAGAGGCUACAGCAUUCAAGCAUUCAAGCGGCAAAAGAAGCCGAAGCUGCUGACCAGAACCAGCAUGUUAUUGAGAAGCUCCUUCUGCAGAAUGAAGAACAGCAGCUGCAGUGUGCACAUCUGGAGCAGGAGGUUCAGCAUCUGCGAAAUGAAGUGGAGAACCAGCAGCACAGGAGUGAGGCCCUGGAGACGGCAGUGAGGUCCACGCAGACACGCAGCCAGCAGCUGUGGACGGAGCUGCAGAGGAAGAGAGCGUAUGUGGAGAAGGUUGAGCGUCUGCAGGGGGCUCUAACUCAGCUGCAGGCGACCUGCAAGAAAAGAGAAGGGUUGGAAACGCGCCUGAGGACACGGCUAGAGCAGGAACUGCGGAGCCUCCGAAAUCAGCAGCGGCAGCCUCAGCCAGUCUCCGUAGCGUCCCACGUGAGUGUGUCCACACUGCAAGAGCUUCUGAGGGAGAAAGAAGAGCGCAUUCUGUCCCUGGAGGCCGACAAGACGCGCUGGGAACAGAAAUACUUGGAGGAGAAGACCAUGAGGGAGUUUGCGAUGGAUGCUGCUGCCACCGCUGCAGCUCAGAGAGACACAACCAUCAUCAACCAUUCGCCCUGCCAUUCCUUCAUUGAGGAGCUCCCAUUAUCUGAGCACAAGAACCAGGAGGUAGAAAACAGGAUCCGUGCCCUGUACGCCCAAAUCCUGGAGAAGGACACAGUGAUUAGUAUCCUGAAGCAGAAGCUUCAGAGAGAGACAGGUGACCCCCGACUAGCUACUGCUGAGCCCUCCAUCACCAUCUCUCAUUCAACGGUCACACACACUGCCCAGGUCAAAGGGAAGAGUCAUUCCAAUGGUACGUCCCAUUUGGCGCUCGCUCCGGAAGCAGUCCCAGGACAACCUGAGAAAGUUCUGAAACAGACAACAGAUCAAACCUCCUACACAGAGACCAGCUCUGAUAACAUCCAGAAAGCACCAUCUGCUCUGGACCUUUUCAAGGGCCUUGAUAAUGUGGCGGCUGAUGCAGUGGAGAUCUUCAUUUGAUGAAGAACACUGACAAACUGCCUUGCAAAAUAAAUGUAGAGGAGCUCUGGGAGAGCUUAAAUGACACCACAUCACUAUACUGUUGUGAAGCAAGAGUCCAGCUAAUUAAUAGUGCUGCUCAAAAAUCUCGUCAAAGAGGCUGAGCUCUUCUCUUAAAACUACAUCUCCAGUCUGCCGUACCAUACAGGAGGGCGGACACAAACUUCUAAAUUGUCCUCACUAUUGCAUUGUAACUCCUCUCAGAAGACCUGUGGUAACUUCACCACAUUCCAAUUCAAUUGACUUUCUUCUUGAGACUGAAGCUCUUGUAUGUAUCUUUUCCACCCCACCUUUAUUGAUUGUUAUAAAUGGUUACGUUUUUCUCAUGAUUUUCUAUUUAUGGCUGCUACGCCCUUCAGCAAAAUUCUUUUACGUUGCAUUUCUAGGAUCGGCAUGCUUAAUGCUGUCACGCUGUGUGAGACAAAAACCUUAUACGUAUAGACCUAAGAGUCCAGAAGAACUGUUAGAGAGAAAACCAAUUGUAUUAUAAUUUGCUUUCUUGUACUUUGUUUUCGAAUGUGUUUGCUCUUAAAUGACACAUUUGCUGGUCAAGGUGUCAUUUCAAAGUAAAUAUUAAUAUAUAUUUUGUACAAUUAUUUUGAGUUGUGUUUGGAAUGUAAUGCUGAGGAACUGAUGCCAAAGAGCAUUUCAGUAAAAUUCAUGUGUUCAAAACACAUGGCCAAGGGUUGACCUCUUCUAUUUAAUCAAUGAAAGAUGUGAAUGUUCUGAAACAUUUCAUACACUUACAAUAAAGCUAUUAAUAUAUAAAAAAUAUGUGUCUCUUGGUUUGUGAAGCCCUUGGGAAAUUUCUGUUGGUUCAAGCAAGCACCAUCUACUGGAUUUCAGCCCAUUUCGCACAUUCCAGGUUUUUUCUCGCACAGUCCGAGAAAGAUGAGUAAUUAUAAGCGAAUGCCAUUGAGGGGCAUUCCAGCUCUCAUAUUUCACCAGAGAAAACCUCACGUAAUUUCCCUCAGGCUCACCUUUAGCCACAUUUUAGACUCCGUUUUGUUGAAAACUUCUGAGGCAUUCAGACAAACAUUCUGCUUUUGAGAGAGAACAAUAGAUAACUCGCUCAAAGCUGACUUACCCAACAUUGACUAACCUAUUUGGCCUCCUAUUCUACGAAUACUGUUACUGACAAAGCCAACUCAAUAUUUCUUAGUGUAGUCGCAUGCUUUGUAACAUGGUAUUGAUGUCAUACUCUGUGUUUCCAAAUAUAGAACAAGGCUACAUCUGUAUUAGAUGUGAUGUUUAAAUAAUAAAAA